UACGUAGGGUGCGAGCGUUGUCCGGAAUUAUUGGGCGUAAAGAGCUCGUAGGCGGUGUGUCACGUCGGCCGUGAAAACCUGGGGCUUAACUCUGGGCGUGCGGUCGAUACGGGCAUCACUAGAGUUCGGCAGGGGAGACUGGAAUUCCUGGUGUAGCGGUGAAAUGCGUAGAUAUCUGGAGGAACACCGGUGGCGAAGGCGACAUCCUGGACCGGUAUUGACGCUGAGGCGCGAAAGCCAGGGGAGCAAACGGG
rnacentral:rRNA from 1 species